rnacentral:rRNA from 1 species
CCUACGGGAGGCAGCAGUGGGGAAUAUUGCACAAUGGGGGAAACCCUGAUGCAGCGACGCCGCGUGAGUGAAGAAGUAUUUCGGUACGUAAAGCUCUAUCAGCAGGGAAGAAAAUGACGGUACCUGACUAAGAAGCCCCGGCUAACUACGUGCCAGCAGCCGCGGUAAUACGUAGGGGGCAAGCGUUAUCCGGAUUUACUGGGUGUAAAGGGAGCGUAGACGGCAGCGCAAGUCUGGAGUGAAAUCCCAUGGCUUAACCAUGGAACUGCUUUGGAAACUGUGCAGCUAGAGUGCAGGAGAGGUAAGCGGAAUUACUAGUGUAGCGGUGAAAUGCGUAGAUAUUAGGAGGAACACCAGUGGCGAAGGCGGCUUACUGGACUGUAACUGACGUUGAGGCUCGAAAGCGUGGGGAGCAAACAGGAUUAGAUACCCGAGUAGUC